rnacentral:rRNA from 1 species
UACCAGCACCCCGAGUGGUCGGCACGUUUAUUGGGCCUAAAGCAUCCGUAGCCGGUUCUACAAGUCUUCCGUUAAAUCCACCUGCUUAACAGAUGGGCUGCGGAGGAUACUAUAGAGCUAGGAGGCGGGAGAGGCAAGCGGUACUUAGUGGGUAGGGGUAAAAUCCGUUGAUCCAUUGAAGACCACCAGUGGCGAAGGCGGCUUGCCAGAACGCACUCGACGGUGAGGGAUGAAAGCUGGGGGAGCAAACCGG